UACGUAGGAUGCAAGCGUUGUUCGGAAUUACUGGGCGUAAAGAGUACGUAGGCGGUCUGGCAAGUCUGAUAUUAAAGACUGGAGCUUAACUCCAGGACUGUAUCGGAAACUGCCAAACUAGAGGACAAUAGAGGAAGUCGGAAUUCUCAGUGUAGCGGUGAAAAUGCGUAGAUAUUGGGAAGAACACCAGUGGCGAAAGCGGACUUCUGGGUUGUUACUGACGCUGAGGUACGAAAGCGUGGGGAGCAAACGGG
rnacentral:rRNA from 1 species